CAAUAGGCCUCUGGACCCUUGGAGAGCCACUCACUUCAGCAACAUUUAUAGCUGAACACACAAGCUCUGUGUGGAGAGACUACAUCCUUACUGAUGGUGCAAAGUACCACCUCCUCUGUGCUGCUGUGCGACAGAGGUCGUGGUGACAGCUUUACAUUCAUUUCUCUCUUCCUGUGGAGAAGGAAGCUUCUAUGGGGAGUAUGUACCUAGGAGUAUAGUUACGGUGGUUUUCUCUUAACAGGAGAAGCCCCAUGGUCUCUGUUAAGGAAGCAGGGAAAGCAACUCAGUUGCUAAUGCACUGAUUUUAAGAGUGUCUAGAUGAGUUGUGAAUGUGGCUUAGGUUCACUAAACAUUUUUUAAAAGACUUGCAAAGUCAAGUUCUGACAGUAAUGUAUUGGGGAACUCCAGUGCUGGUGUUAAUGUUGAUGUAAUUGUAUUAAGCAACAGAACAAAGCAUCCUGAAUGCAUAUAUGAUACAUGACUGUAUAGAAGUCACAAAUUAGUAUGUGAGUCCAAAGGUUGGUUUAAUAAAGUUGGUGUU